CGGAUGAUUAUAACAGGCAGUUGUGAGCUGUAUUAAAUUCUAAUAAAGUUAAUACAUCAUGUCAUAACAACGGACUUGUACCCACAAUGCUUGAUUGUACUACUAUAUCUACCGGUAUACGUCUGGUAUUUUGUAUCCAGAUUUUGUCAACCACGGGCACUGUCAAAGUCUGUCGGAAUUGUGAAUACAGCGGUGAAACGCACAGCCCACUGACUCGGUUUGAUGUUCAGCUUUCUAGAUGUCGUGCUCGGUCAUGUUUCUGUCGAUGUGAUGGUUCCGUAUACUGUCCAAGGACAGGACUCAAACUGACUUGUAGAGAUAAUUGUAUCUUGUGUAGAAAUCCCGUCACUUGGGAGGAGUUACCACCCUUUGCAACAUUUACGAUUUCUUAUGGGGGCACUGACAUGAAUUGUGAAUGUGGGUGUUUUGGAACUUAUUCCUGUACACAGACUUAAAAGAUACAUGAAUUUCUUUUCAAGAUUUAUUCUGAAACAAAGAGAAUGUUAAUGAUAUGUAACAGGUGGUUUUCUUUUGAGAGUUUUAUUUAUGUUAUAGUUAAAUUGUUCAUAUAACAA